UACGUAGGGUGCAAGCAUUAAUCGGAAUUACUGGGCGUAAAGCGUGCGCAGGCGGUUGUGUAAGUCAGAUGUGAAAUCCCCGGGCUCAACCUGGGAAUUGCAUUUGAGACUGCACGGCUAGAGUGUGUCAGAGGGGGGUAGAAUUCCACGUGUAGCAGUGAAAUGCGUAGAGAUGUGGAGGAAUACCGAUGGCGAAGGCAGCCCCCUGGGCCAACACUGACGCUCAUGCACGAAAGCGUGGGGAGCAAACAGG
rnacentral:rRNA from 1 species